AACGAGGCCGACCUGCGGCUGAGUUACCUGCGGAAGGAUCAUUAACCUUUCAAAUCAGGGUGCGGCGCGGCCCCCGAGGAGCGGAAACAAUCCUUGGGAGGUAUGCGGGGGCUUCGAGCCCCCCAUUUACGCACGCACGACUGCCAUCCUUACUUUACGAGCACCUUCUGUUCUCCCUCGGCGGGGCAACCUGCCGUUGGAACCGAAUAAACUCUUUUUGCAUCUAGCAUUACCUGUUCC
rnacentral:misc_RNA from 1 species